AGUAUUACUUAAUCAAUUUUUAUCACAAAUAUAACGAAACUAAAUCCAAGAUAACUACACCAUAAAACUUCAGACAUUCAACACAAAUCCAACAUAGUAAAACUAAAUCCAAAAUCAGAACUGAGUCAUAUAACGAAGACAUAUGAAACCAGCAAACAAUGAAGAGAAUAAGGCAACAACAUAUUUCAAUCACAACCACGAAAGUAACAUUUCAAAUAACAGAGAAGAGGGGGCAGAUGGUCCUGAAAUUAAAGCUUUCGAUUAAAUUCGAUGUCGACAAAUCCGAACAGCGACAAACAAAUUUAAACCGGAAAUGGAAAUGAACUCGAACCAACAACUGAAGCAAAUCGACCCUCGGCUACACCUUAGAUGCAAUCCAUAGUUGAACACCAGAUUAAGAAACUAAUAAUUUUUUUUUGUGUUUUCUAUUUAGAAAUCGGAAAAAACAAACUAAAGGAACUACAAUUAUUUUAGGGAUUCUUUUCUAUGAAUAAAAACCUAAUCAGAAGGCUCAAAAUCAGAUAACCUUCACUCCUUUUAACUUCUCUGCCUCUAUUUUUCGCUACUGUACAUGUGUGAGUGGUCGCCGGUGGAGCUGGUUGAGAGUGACAUUGGAUGCUGCUACUUUUCGGCGGACUCUGGUAGAGGCCGGCAUGUCAAGGGAGGUGGCUAGCGACUGUCUUGAAGGUGUCAAGAAGAAGAAGGGGGUGCUGAAGGUUAGGUUCGAUGGCUGAUGAGUGUAGAAAGCGGCGGUAGAGAGGUUUUCUGAAGAGGGGUUAGGGUUUUUUAAUU
rnacentral:lncRNA from 1 species